UUUCCCUUCCAUCAUUUGUUUGCCCAUGCCGAGGUUGCGCAUGCUGGACACGGUGAAUCUCCGCGUUGUUCUCCACAGCUCCCCGAUGGAGAAGAACACACCUGGGGGGGGGGCAUGAGACAUCACCGCUGGGACCGUGCGCGGAGGAGCCCCACCACAAAAAACAAGAUAUGGGACUGGACGAAGAGGAAUCUCCACAAGUGUUUCUGCUGCCCAGUUUCUCAUGGGUUUGGGGAAUAAGGAUCUCCCAUUUUUCCGUGUCCCAUCCCUGUAUCCUCUCAGCUCAGUCUUCCCAGUCUCACUGAGCCUGUAGUUCGUGAAAAACCAGCUCCCACCCAGCCCAGCCUGCCCCAGCUGCAAGAUAAGCAGGCAAUUUCAUCUGGACCACUCAUUUUCUGCAAACAGCUUCAGAGUCAAGAAAUUGACAUUUGCUGGAGAGAAAAUGUUUCAUUGGAGAAUUUGUGACCCUUGCUACUUAACAGCCCCUGUGAAUUUACAGCUUUGGGUCACCUCUGAGCAGCUCCAACUUAGGUUAGGAAGCAGGUCGAUCCUUUGGUGCCGUCUGCCAGGGUGAGGAGGGAGCGCUCAGCAACCCCCCAGGCUGUGCCAGCCUCACCUGAUGCCAACGAGCGGUUUACCAGCAUGAGCAAAAGCCACACAAAAGCAUGGCCAGUGACUCACCGCUCCUUAGCCCACAUCUGGUUUCCUGCCUCUGUUUUGCAAACGAAGCUCCUCUCUUACCUGCAUCAUCACUCUGAUUUCACACCUUCCCUCCCUGCAGGUACAGCUUGUUGUUCCUACACGUAAUGGCUGCUGCAUGAGAUAAAUCAUUAAGUGUGCUCAUCAGGCAGCUGCUCUAGGAAGGCUGAGGCUCCUGGGAUGUCACCAGCUUUCUAGAGACCCCAUAUGACAAGUUCAUGGUACAGAUGAGAGGCUGGGGCACAGCACAAACCAGGUGAGGCAUGGGGUUCAGGAUGAAGCCGACAUCAGCAGUGAGAUCUAGAUCUGACUUGUCCACUCCUGGAGGGGCUUGGAAGACAAAUUUGCGGAGCAAGCCAGCGAAGAAGAGGAACAGUUCCAUUUUGGCCAGUCCUUCUCCAACACAAGCCCUUCGUCCUGAAAACAACCAGGAGAGAAGUAAAUGAUAAGCACCAUAACUGCUAGUGUUGACAUCUGAGACCUUCUAAACUGGGUGCACAGUCUGUAAGAGCAGGCUGCUGAGGCAUCUCUCCAGGUUCAAUGACGUGGUUCAUUUCUUCCUGAAUCUUUCCUUGGAGGAAGGAAAGGAGUAAGAAGCUGAUACUUCUCUUAUCUUGCAACUGGAAUAGCCUUCAGUUUGGCCAAGAUGAAGAAAAGGGAAAAUUUUGAGAGGCAUUUAGGAAGAGCAGGAAGUGGGGCGGGAAGGUUUGGGAUGAUCUCCUUGCGUGUGCUGUGUGGCAACUUACUUCACCACAUGGGACGAUCCUGACAAUCAGAUCCCCUUAACCAGCAGUGUCAGCAGAGCGAUGGAGCAAGUACAGCACUGCUCACUACCUCGGCUUCCAGUAUGCAAUCCUGAGCACAGCCAACUGAGUUGCUGGUUUGUGGGUGAGGCACCCCAUGCAGGGCUGGGGAGUAAACUCUGCUCCCUGCCCACCCAUGUCUUUGUCUUUCCACCAGCACAAUCUUCAGGAACCUGAAUUAAAAGGGAGAAAAAUGGUUUACAACAGCCUGUGGCAGUGAUGUAGCAAGAGAUUUUAUGUAAGAGCUGGCGGCGAGCUCACAGCGCGAGGGUGAGGCACAGCAGCGAGUGCUCCUGGAAGGAUGUUUCUCUGAGGAUGAGAUCUGAGGAUUUUCAGAGAGCAUGCUGUAGACCUGUGGGUAAAACAGUGUUGUCCUUGGUUAUCUUGUGAAUGCAUCUGCCGAUGACCACCUGGUUUUACUGGCCUCGUCAUGGUAAGCUGCCUGCUCGCCCCUUGCCAGUAGGAGGCAUAAGUAGUGCUGUCCAUGAGCUGUGCGCUGGGCUACCCUUACUCGGGUCAUUAACUGUGAGGAUUAAUCAUAAUGAGGGAUCAGCAGGCCCAUUGCUACUGGGGGGCUGAUGGUGAAGUUCACAUCACUGCAACGGGACAGGGAUGGCUCUUCUGAAAUUCUGCUGAAUUGAAGAAAAGUUUACAUGCCCUCAGUAAACGCGUGGAUCCCCAGGCUCUGGGCUCACCCCACCAGCAAUAGGGGGUCCUGAAACCGCAUUUUGUAUGGCAGUGGUGCAUGAGGCGCGUCCCACCUGGGACCCUGUCUCAGCCAGACCUGGCUCAUAGCCAAGAGCAGGGGUACUGGUUCCCCCAUAAACACAUCUGCUGUUCCUGGUCUCAGAGUUUUACUCUUUUCCCAUUCGUUUACAAAUGAACAAAUGUAUUUAAAAUAAACCACCCUCCUCCCCUCCUUCUGUAGGCAGCUUCCCUGUGACCAGCGCUCCCACCCUCCCCAUCUGUGGGCUAAUUACGACAACAACAACAGCUUUAGGAGAACAAAACGCUUUAUUUCACUGAGGUGCGGGAGGCCCCGGCCUCAGGGAGCACCACCGGCCUUCCCUUCCCCUCCGGGGGGGGGCAGCCAACAUGGCGGCAGCGGCACGCUCUCCAUGACGACCCGCGCGGGUGGCGCCGCGGUUGCC